rnacentral:rRNA from 1 species
GAUGAACGCUGGCGGCGUGCCUAAUACAUGCAAGUCGAGCGAACAGACGAGGCGCUUGCUCCUCUGACGUUAGCGGCGGACGGGUGAGUCACACGUGGAUCACCUCCCUAUCAGACUGGGAUAACUUCGGGAAACCGGCGCUAAUCCCGGAUAAUCUAUUGAACCGCAUUGUUCAUUAGUGAAAUACGGUGUUGCUGUCACUUAUCGCUGGUUAUGCGCUGCAUUAGCUAGUUGUUACGUUCACGGCUUACCACGGCGACUAUGCGUAGCCGACGUGAGAGGGUGGUAGCCCACACGGGAGGUGAGACACGGACAAGACGCCUACGGGAGGCAGCAGUAGGGAAUCUUACGCAAUGGGCGAAAGCCUGACGGAGCAACGGCGCGUGAGUGAUGAAGGUCUUCGGAGCGGAAAACCCUGUUAUGAGGGAAGAACAAAUGUGGAAGGAACUAUGCACGUCGUGACGGUACCUAAUCAGAAAGCCACGGCUAACUACGUG